GAUGAACGCUGGCGGCGUGCCUAAUACAUGCAAGUCGAGCGAACAGAUAAGGCGCUUGCUCCUUUGACGUUAGCGGCGGACGGGUGAGUAACACGUGGGUAACCUACCUAUAAGACUGGAAUAACUCCGGGAAACCGUGGCUAAUGCUGGAUAACAUUUAGAACUGCAUGGUUCUAUAGUGAAAGAUGGUUUUGCUAUCACUUAUAGAUGGACCCGCGGCGUAUUAGCUAGUUGUUAAGGUAACGGCUUACCAAGGAAACGAUACUUAGCGGACGUGUGAGGGUGAUCAAGGACACGAGAACUGUGACUCGGUCCAUACUGCUACGGCAGACAUCAAUGGGGGGUAUUGCGCAAUGGGCGAAGGCCUGACGGAUCGACUGGGCGUGGGUGAUGAUGAGCUUCGAAUCGUGAAACUCAGUUAGUAGGUGGAAACAAAGAUAUAGGUAACUGUGCAGGUCAUUGCGAUACCUAAACAGAAUGCCGGGGCUAAGUACGUG
rnacentral:rRNA from 1 species